rnacentral:rRNA from 1 species
CACACGUAAGCUAUAUUGCAGCGAGUUUCUGCAGCUCAACACCCGUCCAUCUAUUUCGUUUAACGUUGUGGGUGGAUGGGAGAUCAAUUCGGCAUAGAUUUGUGCCAAAAAAAAAUGUGACAUUGUGAGUGCUUAAAUGCAUUCCUCUUAAAAUGAUUUUUGUGGAGUGAUGUUUGCUCCAUUAUAUUUGGUAUAUAUGACUCUUGGCAAUGGAUAUCUUGGCUCUUGCAUCGAUGAAGAACAUAGCGAAAUGUGAUACAUGGUGCGAAUUGCAGAAUCCCGUGAACCAUCGAGUUUUUGAAUGCAAGUUGCGCCGAAGGCCAGCAGGUCAAGGGCACGUCUGCUUGGGAGUCAAAUAAUUCAUCGCUCAGUUUAACAUCAAAGCCAUCAAAAUAAUUUGAUGUUUUUUUCACUGAUGCGGAGAAUGGCUUGUUGCGCGCAUGGUGCAACAGGAUUGAGAUUAGGUUGGUUUCUUCUUUACAAUGAUCGGUUAUUGGGUGGUGGAAGUCCAUGCACGGCCUUUAAAAUCGCAUGAUUGUUUGAGGAAGAUGACUGUUGAAAAACUCGACAAUUAUAAUACAGUUUGUGUUACAUAGAUGCGACCCCAAGAUAGGUGAGGUAACCCGCUGAGUUUAAGCAUAUAAAUAA